rnacentral:misc_RNA from 1 species
GGUUAGUAUCAUCAGAUAGUU